rnacentral:rRNA from 1 species
AUCUUGGACAAUGGGCGCAAGCCUGAUCCAGCCAUGCCGCGUGGAUGAUGAAGGCCCUAGGGUUGUAAAAUCCUUUCGUCAGGGACGAUAAUGACGGUACCUGAAGAAGAAGCCCCGGCUAACUUCGUGCCAGCAGCCGCGGUAAUACGAAGGGGGCUAGCGUUGUUCGGAUUUACUGGGCGUAAAGCGCGUGUAGGCGGGCUUGCAAGUUGGGGGUGAAAUCCCGAGGCUCAACCUCGGAACUGCCUCCAAAACUGCAAGCCUGGAGCAAGAUAGAGGCAAGUGGAAUUGCGAGUGUAGAGGUGAAAUUCGUAGAUAUUCGCAGGAACACCAGUGGCGAAGGCGACUUGCUGGAUCUUUGCUGACGCUGAGACGCGAAAGCGUGGGGAGCAAACAGG